UAAUAAUAUAAUUAAAUCCUUAAUAUUUUCAACUUAAAAGAAAAUACAACCCUGUAAUUUACAAUUUUUGCCGCGUUGCUGCACUGUAGUAUAGGCGUUUCUACACCUAACAGCUGACACACAACCAAACACAUAAAACAAAGAACAUUAAGAAGAAGACCUAAGAACACAUAAAUUAAAAUCAUUUUGUUUAAUUUUAAUCACAUAUAAAAUUUUUUCUGCUACAAAAAACACUUUUUUAACUCAUCCAGACAUUGAGAAUAUAUGUAAUUAUUUCAACAUUAAUGAAAACCCACCCCUAAAACAACAAACAUAAACAAAACAAGCCAGUGGAACCAAAUUAAAACCACUUGAUGAAACCAAACGGAUGAACACAAGAAACAGGAGCUCGAGAACAAACAAAAAGGAAUCAAAUCUGAAGGAAUUACAACAAUAACAAAUUCAUCAGACUUUUCGGAACAACAAAGUGUUUAUUUACACAAAUAAAACUAAAACAUAUA